GAUGAACGCUGGCGGCGUGCCUAAUACAUGCAAGUCGAGCGAACAGACGAGGAGCUUGCUCCUCUGACGUUAGCGGCGGACGGGGUGAGUAACACGUGGAUAACCUACCUAUAAGACUGGGAUAACUUCGGGAAACCGGAGCUAAUACCGGAUAAUAUAUUGAACCGCAUGGUUCAAUAGUGAAAGACGGUUUUGCUGUCACUUAUAGAUGGAUCCGCGCCGCAUUAGCUAGUUGGUAAGGUAACAGCUUACCAAGGCAACGAUGCGUAGCCGACCUGAGAGGGUGAUCGGCCACACUGGAACUGAGACACGGUCCAGACUCCUACGGGAGGCAGCAGUAGGGAAUCUUCCGCAAUGGGCGAAAGCCUGACGGAGCAACGCCGCGUGAGUGAUGAAGGUCUUCGGAUCGUAAAACUCUGUUAUUAGGGAAGAACAAAUGUGUAAGUAACUAUGCACGUCUUGACGGUACCUAAUCAGAAAGCCACGGCUAACUACGUG
rnacentral:rRNA from 1 species